rnacentral:pre_miRNA from 1 species
AUACAAAUCAGCUGGAGAUCUUGUUAAAAUGCAAAUGUUGAUUUAGUGAGUCUGGAGCAGGGCAUGAACUUACACAUUUUUAAACAAACUCUUAGUUGAUCUCCGA